UACGAAGGGGGCUAGCGUUGUUCGGAAUUACUGGGCGUAAAGCGCACGUAGGCGGAUUUGUAAGUCAGGGGUGAAAUCCCGGGGCUCAACCUCGGAACUGCCUUCGAUACUGCGGGUCUCGAGUCCGGGAGAGGUGAGUGGAAUUCCUAGUGUAGAGGUGAAAUUCGUAGAUAUUAGGAAGAACACCAGUGGCGAAGGCGGCUCACUGGCCCGGUACUGACGCUGAGGCGCGAAAGCGUGGGGAGCAAACAGG
rnacentral:rRNA from 1 species